rnacentral:rRNA from 1 species
AGUGAACGCUGGCGGUAGGCCUAACACAUGCAAGUCGAACGGCAGCACAGUAAGAGCUUGCUCUUACGGGUGGCGAGUGGCGGACGGGUGAGGAAUACAUCGGAAUCUACUUUUUCGUGGGGGAUAACGUAGGGAAACUUACGCUAAUACCGCAUACGACCUACGGGUGAAAGCAGGGGAUCUUCGGACCUUGCGCGAUUGAAUGAGCCGAUGUCGGAUUAGCUAGUUGGCGGGGUAAAGGCCCACCAAGGCGACGAUCCGUAGCUGGUCUGAGAGGAUGAUCAGCCACACUGGAACUGAGACACGGACCAGACUCCUACGGGAGGCAGCAGUGGGGAAUAUUGGACAAUGGGCGCAAGCCUGAUCCAGCCAUACCGCGUGGGUGAAGAAGGCCUUCGGGUUGUAAAGCCCUUUUGUUGGGAAAGAAAAGCAGCAGGUUAAUACCCCGCUGUUCUGACGGUACCCAAAGAAUAAGCACCGGCUAACUUCGU